GGUCAUUUUGCUUUUUAGGCUUGCAACAGUCAAUUGCACGAUGUCCAGGUUUGCCACAGUCGAAGCAGUCCCCUUUGAACUUCUUGUUCUUCUGGUUGUUUUCUUUUUUCUUCGGAGCAAAGUUUGAGUGCUUCCUUUUCAUGUUCUUCUUUGAACUUGAUUCAACCAUGUUUGCCUUAGCUUCCAUGCUUGGUCCCCCGUUCCUCCUUUCAGAUUUCUUAGUA
rnacentral:lncRNA from 1 species